rnacentral:misc_RNA from 1 species
UCCAAUGCAGGUAUCGGGUAGGAGCAGGAUGUGCUCCAGUUGGCUCUUCUUCUGGUAGGUUUCUUCUCUGGUCUUCUGCGGGACCCCGAUGUUCGCAUUGUUGCUAGUCAUUAACGGCAUCGUUUUGAUACCUGCCAUUGUUGAUCUUGAGAGAAAGAAGAUAAGAAUCGGCGACUUUUAUACAGAUACAAGUUAGGGUUACUGGAAAUGGACCUACAAGAAGAAAAAUUGAAGGUUUCUUGUACGGAUUUCGA